CCGACUGACAACUACGUCGACAUGAAGGCUUCACUUGUGAUGCGCGCCGCUCUGUCGGUGGUGGUGAUGCUGGCGGUGGUGUCCAUGGUGGCGGCCCACCCUGAGCCUGGGUAUGGCAGGGGUCAUGGUGGCUAUGGGCAUGGUGGCCACGGCGGAGGUCAUGGUGGAUAUGGCUAUGGUGGCUACGGCUAUGGCGGAGGAUACGGCGGCUACGGAUAUGGACAUGGUCGCUAAAGCUAACUGAAGAGGAUGAUUGUGGCCGAAUAAAGCUAUGGAACUUUGUCCAAUAAGGGAAAGAUAUCGAAAAAA